AAGUCAUAAUGAGGUCUGACGUCAUGACAGUUGCUCCGCCCUGAUUGAUCCAUAUAAGGAAAUGGUGCUCAAAAUAACUAUUUACCGAUAUUGGCAACGAUUUGUAAUAAACAAUAAUAUCUUCAUGUUUAAAUAGAAAAUAAUUAGUGAUUUUCUCGUAUAUAAAAUAGCAUGUCUUUAAAAUAAUUCUCUUUUUAAUGUGUCGUUUGUCUGCAUUCGGCUUCAGCCAAGCGCUUGCACUCGGUGACACGGAAUGUUGUUUACAUCUAAAACGUGGCGAUAUCAGCUGAAAUUUGCAGUGGAUUUAAAUGCAAUAACCACGCAAUCUUUAAAGAAAAUAGGGAUAAAAUAAGAGACAAGGCAUUGCUUCUCCAUUUUACAAGAAUAUGAGGACAUUAUUUCGAAAAAUAGCAGAAAAAUGAGACAAUUUGCACCAGCUCUAGCUCCGUAGAUCAAUCGCUGCACUGUAAUUCCAGGCCAGCUGUCCAGAGUUUCAGGCUUAAAGAGUGAAUAAAUAAAAAAUGCAUCAUUUCUCCACAGGGCCUAGCUAUUCCCAGAUGUUGGACAAAUGGAUUCAUUCA